AAACCGGCCCUUUUUAGGGCCACAAACUAUCAAAAUUAAUUCUUGU
rfam:Oikopleura dioica, whole genome shotgun assembly, reference scaffold set, scaffold scaffold_1